CCUACGGGUGGCUGCAGUGAGGAAUAUUGGUCAAUGGACGCAAGUCUGAACCAGCCAAGUAGCGUGCAGGAUGACGGCCCUCCGGGUUGUAAACUGCUUUUAGUUGGGAAUAAAAGGGGGCUCGUGAUCCCCGUAUUGUAUGUACCAUCAGAAAAAGGACCGGCUAAUUCCGUGCCAGCAGCCGCGGUAAUCAGGAAGGUCCGGGCUUUAUCCGUAUUUAUUGGGUUUAAACGGGGCGUAGGCCGGCUUUUAAGUACGCGGUGAACGUUCGCGGCUCAACCGUGGAAUUGCAGUUGAAACUGGAGGCCGUGAGUGCACACAGGGAGGCCGGAAUUCAUGGUGUAGCGGUGAAAUGCUGAGAUAUCAUGAAGAACUCCGAUCGCGAAGGUAAGUGUCCGGGGUGCAACUGACGCUGAGGCUCGAAAGUGCGGGUAUCAAACAGGAUUAGAUACCCGUGUAGUC
rnacentral:rRNA from 1 species